AUACGGAGGAUCCGAGCGUUAUCCGGAUUUAUUGGGUUUAAAGGGAGCGUAGGUGGAUUGUUAAGUCAGUUGUGAAAGUUUGCGGCUCGACCGUAAAAUUGCAGUUGAAACUGGCAGUCUUGAGUACAGUAGAGGUGGGCGGAAUUCGUGGUGUAGCGGUGAAAUGCUUAGAUAUCACGAAGAACUCCGAUUGCGAAGGCAGCUCACUAGACUGUUACUGACACUGAUGCUCGAAAGUGUGGGUAUCAAACAGGAUUAGAUACCCUGGUAGUCCACACAGUAAACGAUGAAUACUCGCUGUUUGCGAUAUACAGUAAGCGGCCAAGCGAAAGCAUUAAGUAUUCCACCUGGGGAGUACGCCGGCAACGGUGAAACUUAAAGGAAUUGACGGGG
rnacentral:rRNA from 1 species